AACGAACGCUGGCGGCAGGCUUAACACAUGCAAGUCGAGCGCCCCGCAAGGGGAGCGGCAGACGGGUGAGUAACGCGUGGGAACGUACCUUUUGGUUCGGAACAACUCCGGGAAACUGGAGCUAAUACCGGAUAAGCCCUAACGGGGAAAGAUUUAUCGCCGAAAGAUCGGCCCGCGUCUGAUUAGCUAGUUGGUGAGGUAACGGCUCACCAAGGCGACGAUCAGUAGCUGGUCUGAGAGGAUGAUCAGCCACACUGGGACUGAGACACGGCCCAGACUCCUACGGGAGGGAGCAGUGGGGAAUAUUGGACAAUGGGCGCAAGCCUGAUCCAGCCAUGCCGCGGGAGUGAUGAAGGCCUUAGGGUUGUAAAGCUCUUUUGUCCGGGAAGAUAAUGACUGUACCGGAAGAAUAAGCCCCGGCUAACUUCGUG
rnacentral:rRNA from 1 species